AGCCGAAACGCACACCAAAAUUGUGCGUCUCUCAGAGGUGGCCUCCUGAGACUGAUGAUGGCAGGUUUUA
rnacentral:hammerhead_ribozyme from 1 species